rnacentral:rRNA from 1 species
GUGGGGAAUAUUCCGCAAUGGACGAAAGUCUGACGGAGCAACGCCGCGUGAGUGAUGAAGGUUUUCGGACUGUAAAGCUCUGUUGUUUGGGACGAAAGUGCCUGUUGCGAACAGUUACGGGUAUUGACGGUACUAAACGAGGAAGCCACGGCUAACUACGUGCCAGCAGCCGCGGUAAUACGUAGGUGGCAAGCGUUGUCCGGAAUUAUGGGGCGGAAAGAGCAUGUAGGCGGGAAUCUAAGUCUGUUGUUAAAAUGCGGGGAUCAACCCCGUAUUGCGAUGGAGACUUGGUUUCUUGAGUGCAGGAGAGGAAAGGGGAAUUCCCGGUGUAGAGGUGAAAUGCGUAGAUAUUGGGAGGAACACCAGUGGCGAAGGCGCCUUUCUGGACGAUGUCUGACGCUGAGGCGCGAAAGCUAGGGGAGCGAACGGGAUUAGAUACCCUUGUAGUCC